AGCCAUCUAAAUAUUUUGUAGUUCCUUUAUGAAAUUUGUCUAAUACUAAGGUUUAAAAACGAUCUGUUGUUAGGUAUUUUAAAAAAUCUUAUGUAUUUCCACCAGAGGUUAUGACUAGCCUACUUCAAAAUACUAUUUUUUUUAAGUGGCAACCUUUUUUUUCUAUUUAAAAUAAACAGACAUUCAAUGCACAUCUUUGUUAUGUACUAGUGUGGAAGACAAGAUACGGAAAAAGCGAAUUACUUCUUACCCAUAGGAGUUCAUGUCUUGUUGAGGACAUAAGCAUCCCGUUGUCAGGAAAAAAAAUGGAUUUUUAUGAAUGGAAACUUCUUAGAUUUCGGUCGUGCAGACAAUUUUACUGACCUCCCUUUUGGUAUUUGUAGACCGCGCCCUCCUUUGUCGAAAGAACAGAGUACUCCUGCACAUCAUGAAACAAGAACUGGACCUUCUCCCACAACCUCAGAGCACUGAGAUAGUAUUUGUAGCUGGCAUCACUGAGUCUGCACAUGAUCAAGAAAUGUUGUAGGCCAUUGCACUCCCUUUGCUGGUUAACUACCUUCAACCUCUUUAAAAACUCCUGGACCAGGCAGAAACUUCAGAGGAGUUGACUCUUGGACAAGAGUCUGCUUUUUCCCCAGGUUGCUGGCCUCCUGAAUAAAGCUCAGAUUCCUUUCCA
rnacentral:lncRNA from 12 species